rnacentral:rRNA from 1 species
ACAGCAGUAGCCGCGGUAAUACAGAGGGUGCAAGCGUUAAUCGGAAUUACUGGGCGUAAAGCGCGCGUAGGUGGUUUGUUAAGUUGGAUGUGAAAUCCCCGGGCUCAACCUGGGAACUGCAUCCAAAACUGGCAAGCUAGAGUAUGGUAGAGGGUGGUGGAAUUUCCUGUGUAGCGGUGAAAUGCGUAGAUAUAGGAAGGAACACCAGUGGCGAAGGCGACCACCUGGACUGAUACUGACACUGAGGUGCGAAAGCGUGGGGAGCAAACAGGAUUAGAUACCCCAGUAGUCCCUGUCUCUUAUAC